GUAGGUGGCAAGCGUUGUCCGGAAUUAUUGGGCGUAAAGCGCGCGCAGGGCGGUCCUUUAAGUCUGAUGUGAAAGCCCACGGCUCAACCGUGGAGGGUCAUUGGAAACUGGGGGACUUGAGUACAGAAGAGGAAAGCGGAAUUCCAAGUGUAGCGGUGAAAUGCGUAGGGAUUUGGAGGAACACCAGUGGCGAAGGCGGCUUUCUGGUCUGUAACUGACGCUGAGGCGCGAAAGCGUGGGGAGCAAACAGGAUUAGAUACCCUGGUAGUCCACGCCGUAAACGAUGAGUGCUAAGUGUUAGGGGGUUUCCGCCCCUUAGUGCUGCAGCUAACGCAUUAAGCACUCCGCCUGGGGAGUACGGCCGCAAAGGCUG
rnacentral:rRNA from 1 species